rnacentral:lncRNA from 1 species
UGACCCGUGUCUCUGAGCGUCUUCCUAGCAGAGAGCCAGACCAGAGUUCCCCCACUCUCCUUCAGUUUCAACCUUUCAAAACCCAUGUCAUGGACACCAAGACUCCAGGGACUUCCGGAAAUAGCCUUCUUUAGGCUGUCUGCUGAGCCAAAUGGGAAACUGAGGCCCAGUAUGAGCUAACAAGUGCUAGGUUUCAAAGUGCUGUGAGGAUUUCACAACCUAAUGAGGGCGAG